GCCAGACUCCUACGGGAGGCAGCAGUGGGGAAUAUUGCACAAUGGGCGAAAGCCUGAUGCAGCAACGCCGCGUGAGCGAUGAAGGCCUUCGGGUCGUAAAGCUCUGUCCUCAAGGAAGAUAAUGACGGUACUUGAGGAGGAAGCUCCGGCUAACUACGUGCCAGCAGCCGCGGUAAUACGUAGGGAGCAAGCGUUAUCCGGAAUUAUUGGGUGUAAAGGGUGCGUAGACGGGACAGCAAGUUAGUUGUGAAAGCCCUCGGCUUAACUGAGGAACUGCAACUAAAACUAUUGUUCUUGAGUGCAGGAGAGGAAAGCGGAAUUCCUAGUGUAGCGGUGAAAUGCGUAGAUAUUAGGAGGAACACCAGUGGCGAAGGCGGCUUUCUGGACUGUAGCUGACGUUGAGGCACGAAAGUGUGGGGAGCAAACAGGAUUAGAUACCCCCGUA
rnacentral:rRNA from 1 species